rnacentral:lncRNA from 1 species
GGGAAAUGUCUAAAAAUUUGACCCUGUUUGUCUAUAAAAGUAGCACAUGAAGGUACAUUUAUUAUUACCUAAUUGAAUUAACUAGGUGAAUAAAUAGCUUGUAAGCACAGUAAUAAAAAACUUUGGGUUUUUUAUUUUCAAUAAAUUUUAUUUAAAUGUAAAAUACAAUAAAUUAAUUUUUAUGCCCCACCUAUGUAGUAGAGGGGCAUUAUGUUUUCUGGUCUGUGUGUCCAUUCGCCCAUUUGUCUGUUCAUUCGUUUGUCUGUUCGUCCGUUCGUCCGUCUGUCCCGCUUUAGGUUUAAGUUUUUGGUCAAGGUAGUUUUUGAUGUAGUUGAAGUCCAAUCAACUUGAAACUUAGUGCCCCUAGUCCCAAUUGAUCUAAUCUUUCAAAUUUUAAUGCCGAAUUAAAGUUUUGACCCCAAUUUCACUGGCCACUGAACAUAGAAAAUAAAGUGGGGAAGUUCAGGCUAAAGUUUUUGGUCAAGGUAGUUUUUGAUGAAGUUGAAGUCCAUUCAACUUGAAAUUUAGUACAUAUGCUCCCCAUGAUAUGAUCUUUCUAAUUUUAAUGCCAAAUUAAAGUUUUGAUCCCAAUUUCACGGUCCACUGAACAUGGAAAAUUAUAUUGUGAGUUGGGCAUCUGUGUACAAUGCACACAUUCUUGGUUUUUUUUUUUAAGUUAAAUUGCCAGAGAAUAGGGUAGAAUCAUUGGUUCUUAAUUUCUUGUUAAUGAAUUCAUGAGAACAGACUCUGUAAGCAUAUCAGUUAAUGAAUAUUUGUGGUCUUGAAAAAUCAUGAUAUCUUUGAAAAUAGAAUAACUACUCAUUGCGCC